AUUGAACGCUGGCGGCAUGCUUUACACAUGCAAGUCGAACGGUAACAGGCCGCAAGGUGCUGACGAGUGGCGAACGGGUGAGUAAUGCAUCGGAACGUGCCCAGUCGGGGGGGAUAACGCAGCGAAAGCUGUGCUAAUACCGCCUACGACCUAUGGGUGAAAGCGGGGGACCGUAAGGCCCGUCGCGAUUGGAGCGUCCGAUGUCAGGUUAGCUAGUUGGUGGGGUAAAGGCCCAACAAGGCGACGAUCUGUAGCUGGUCUGAGAGGACGACCAGCCACACUGGGACUGAGACACGGCCCAGACUCCUACGGGAGGCAGCAGUGGGGAAUUUUGGACAAUGGGCGCAAGCCUGAUCCAGCAAUGCCGCGUGCAGGAAGAAGGCCUUCGGGUUGUAAACUGCUUUUGUACGGAACGAAACGGUCUGGGUUAAUACCCUGGGCUAAUGACGGUACCGUAAGAAUAAGCACCGGCUAACUACGUGCCAGCCGCCGCCGUAACAC
rnacentral:rRNA from 1 species